GGAGCGCGAGCGAAGAUGGCGCCUGCUAGCGUCCGCGUGGAGAGUGUUCGGUCCAGCCGCCGCCCGGAAGUGGAAGUAUGUGUUGAAUUGCAGGCCUGCCCCCUCGGACCAUGGAUUUCAUAGAAGCAGCAACAAAUGAGAGUUCCUGCUAUUCCACAUCUUCACCAGUAUUUGCUGUUGUCGGUGUUCUAGAUUUUGGUCACUCUAAUAGGCUAUGGAGUUUGGAGUAGCCUUUGAACUCAGCUAUAUUUUAGUGGUAUCCUUCAUUUUGUGAUAGCUUACUUUGUGGAAUUUUAUCUCUCUGUAGUGGGGCAUUUGAAUAGUUGUAUGUUAAAGAUUAUAUUUGAAAUUUAUACUUCUUGCCCGAUUUUCAUCAUCAAAUAUUUACUUUGGUAUUUAUAUUAUUGGUUAUGAGGUCCCAUAGAGCUGAGUGCAUGGUUCUUGGCAGAAAAUUUUGGUUGAAGAGAUGUGUGCUGGAAUGGAUUUAUGAUUACUUGUAAAGAUAAACAGAAAAAAUCUGGAAACGGAUAUAAAUUACAGUGUUCUCUUUAGACAUUAAUACAAGAACUCUCCUUUGUCUUUUGUUGUACCCACCUGAUAUAUUUCUUUGGCAUUAAUUAUUCCUACCCCAAGUAGAUGUUGGCAACAUAGUGGUCAAGAGCUCAGUCCUUUGGGUUCAGAUAUGCUAAUCACUAGCUAGAUUUCAUAAUCUGUGUAAGCUGCAGAUUUUUAAUAAAAAAAAACUUUUAAUACCUUGCUGGGUGUCUAGAGUUGAUGAUAUAAUGCAUAUGAAGCUCUUGGACAUAGCAAACAUGUACUUGUUAUUUUAGGGGUUGCCAUUGUAUAUGUCAGUGCUUCAUCAGAAUUUUCAUGGCUCAGCCAAAUGGUACCUUUAAAAAUUUUUUUUAAUGUUUAUUUAUAUUUGAGAGAGAGACAGAGCAGAGGGGCAGAGGGGCAGAGAGAGAGGGAGACAUAGAAUCCGAAGCAGGCUCUAGGAUCUGAGCUGUCAGCACAGAGCCUGAUGCAGGUCUUGAACGCACAAACUGUGAGAUCAUGACCUGAGCCAAAGUCAGAUGCUUAACUGACUGAGCCACUCAAUUGCCCCCAAAUGGUACCUUUUUAAUUAAAGGCACACCUCUUAAUGGUUCUCUUUUCAUAGUUACUAAAAUGUUUCCAAAAAUCUUAGAAAUAUUUAUUUUCAGAAUACUCAUGCACACACAUAUGAAAAAAAUUAAUACUAUUGGGGAGCCUUGAUGUGGCACUACUGGUCCAUUCUCUUAGAAAUAUCUGUCAGGUGCUUUUCAUGAAAUACAUAUUUUAAAUCUUACAAUAAUCUGCAAGGUAGAUGUUAUUAGUAUUCCCAUUUUAUUGAUGAGAAAAGGAAGACUUAUUGAGGUCAAAUAUCUUUCCCAAUGUCAGAGAGGUAAAAAUUGUGCAUUCUGGCAUGUAUCCAUUGUACAAAGUCUGGGAUUUUGUGUGUGUGUGUGUGUGUGUGUGUGUGUGUGUGUGUGUGCUUUUUUAGUUGCAUUAAAGAAAAAAUCACAGCCAGUUUUGAAUUAAAAAAUACCAGGAGUGACAACUAUGCACUCCUAACUUCUGACAACUCUAUGUUAAGCAUGUUUAUUGAUCCAAAAUAUUUGAAUGCAAGUCAGAUGACGUACAUGUGAAAACAAUCCUUCAUCAAUUUUGAGAAUAUAAACAUUCCUCUGAAGAGGGGGAGGGGAAACUACAUUUUCAAAAUUUAACUACUUCCUUUAAGGCAUACUGGAAUUUUCUUCCUUGGUUUCUUUUGCUCACUCACUAAAAUGUUACUAGGUUGAAUAUCAUUCAAAUAAAUAAACAAACCUAUUUCUUUCCAUUAACUUGCCAACAUGUAAAAAGGCUAGGAGACUUAUUUACUUUCAGGAAUCAAUUUAGGGGCAAUUCUUCUUGAUCUACUGCAACUUUUGAUUCUUCUAGUUUCUCUAACUGUAAAGCCAAUAAUGUCUGUUUUGUUUUCCUGGCCUUCAAAUUCCUUUGCAGUCACCUUCAGUGACAUGAACUGGAGAUAUUUCUACUAUUUGUUUGUUUUAGCAAAAAUAUUAUUCAUGAAAAGGAAAAGUAGAAGAUAUAAUAACAAGAAAUCAUUCAAUUUUCAUUAGAUUCUGCUCUGUAUGACAUGUGGAAAAAUGGAGAAAAUAUAGAAAAGUCAAUAGUAAAGGCUUUCAAGGCUGGACCUCCUGGAAAGUGUGGCUUGUAUUUUGUUUCUGAUUCUCCUCUUCCUGUUUUCUGUUCAACCCACUUCUUUUCAAGUUGUGGUAGCUACACUCCAGUGGCACUGCUUUUAGACGAGAGACAAACUUGGAACUCUUCCAAAAGACCCAAGUAAACAGAGAGGAAGUUUUGGAAGAUUGAAUCAGAGCCAGAAUAAACUAGGAUAUCUGUUUAAGAUGGAUAUUACAAAAGGAACUGAAAAAUGAUUCAGGGAGAUAUAUUUAGAUCUGGAAUCAGGAAAAGUUGUUUUAAUUAAACUUUUUAGAAUUAAGAUAUUAACUUGCAUCAGUAUUAAUUUACAUGAGAGACUAUUAAGGAUAUACAGAAAAGGUAUUUGACUAAUAACACCUUUUUUUCCUCCUUAGUAUCAAUGCCUAUGGUCAAUUAAGUGGGAAAAAAAUCAAACUAAUUUCAUGUAGUUGCUAAUAUAGUAAAAUAAAAUUUGUGUUUUAUAAAAUUAUAGUUGUUUUGGUUUUGCCCUUAAGAAUAGAUGAAAUAGAAACAAUUCUACUUUUUUUAAGUUUUCUUUCUUUAAAAAAUAUUUACUUAUUUUGAGAGAGAGAGAGAGAACACACACACAUGCACCAUUAGCAAUGAAAAAGAACGGGGCAGGGGCAGAGAGAGAGAUUGAGAGAGAGAGAGAGAGAGAGAGAAUUUCAAGCAGUCUCCAUGAACCAUGAGAUCAUGACCUGAGCCAAAAUCAAGAGAUGGACGCUUAACCAAUUGAGCCAACAAGGUGCCCCAAUUCUACUUCUUAGUAUAAUUUUAGAAAAUGCGGUACAAGUGCCCCUCUGCAUCAGCACUCCUGUAUCCCUUGGGUAAAUUCCUAGCAGUGCUAUUUCUGGGUCAUAGGGUAGAUCUUUUUUUAAGUUUUUGAGGAACCUCCACACUGUUUUCCAGAGUGGCUGCACCAGUUUGCAUUCCCACCAACAGGAAGACCAUGAAGGAGGGGAAGGAAAAAAAAAAAAAAAGGUUGGAGAGGGAGAGAGCCAAAGCAUAAGAGACUCUUAAAACUGAGAACAA